GUCCAACGUUAAUCGGGGCAGGGUGAGUCGACCCCUAAGGCGAGGCCGAAAGGCGUAGUCGAUGGGAAACAGGUUAAUAUUCCUGUACUUGGUGUUACUGCGAAGGGGGGACGGAGAAGGCUAUGUUGGCCGGGCGACGGUUGUCCCGGUUUAAGCGUGUAGGCUGGUUUUCCAGGCAAAUCCGGAAAAUCAAGGCUGAGGCGUGAUGACGAGGCACUACGGUGCUGAAGCAACAAAUGCCCUGCUUCCAGGAAAAGCCUCUAAGCAUCAGGUAACAUCAAAUCGUACCCCAAACCGACACAGGUGGUCAGGUAGAGAAUACCAAGGCGCUUGAGAGAACUCGGGUGAAGGAACUAGGCAAAAUGGUGCCGUAACUUCGGGAGAAGGCACGCUGAUAUGUAGGUGAAGUCCCUCGCGGAUGGAGCUGAAAUCAGUCGAAGAUACCAGCUGGCUGCAACUGUUUAUUAAAAACACAGCACUGUGCAAACACGAAAGUGGACGUAUACGGUGUGACGCCUGCCCGGUGC
rnacentral:rRNA from 1 species